CAUCAUAAUGGCGCUGCGUACACAGAAGAACAUGUGUGUGUGUAGCAGUUUCUGAUGAGGAUUGGUGGCGAGAUGCCAGUGUAUAUAAAAUGUGCUUUCAAAUCCUUUGAGGAGAGGAAGAGCAGGUGUGAACCAUCAAGUGGGUGCUUUCUUAUUUAACUGCUCAUGGUUACUGUGGAGAGUAGGAAUUAUUAAUCUUGUUCUACAGAUGAAGAUGAUGAAGGCCUCCAAGUGGACCACACCAAUCCAAGACUCCUCUUGUGCGGGGUGGGGA